AUAUGCAUUAAAACAUAUUGAUGAUAUGGGCCCAUGAGAAGUAAAAGCAGGCACUGGCAUUCUGCACAGAUGAAAUACUUCCUACGACAGAAAUACAUGCUCACUUGUGGACUUCUCUGUAAUCUGUAGGCAACAUAAGCUCCUGAUUUCUAGGUCUGGAUCUGGGUUCUCUGUAGCACAGGAAGGUCUGUACUUCUCCUACAUAAAUGCCUUGCAUGGCGGGAACUAAAUCAACUACACAGACCCAUACAUCCAGAGAGCAGAGGUGAGCUGGAUACAAGUGGCUUAGAGAUGUGGUGGAAGGAGGCCAGAGCUCCAAGGGAAGGGCAGCAAGGAGACAACAGCAUGGGUUGCAGCUCAGACAACAGGUAAAUAAAACCAAGCAAAGCUGCUGGUCACAGAUUUGACCAGGGUGGCAAGAAAUGACAACCUACCAUGAGAUUCAACAGUGGCACGGAAGGAUGAUGAGAAGCAAACAGAUUAGGAGAAGCUGCCACCACCGUACAUAGAGGCACAGAUGACCAAGCAGAACAGCACCAGUCCCUGCAAGGUGUGCUCAGAUACAGCUCGGCACAGCCAUCUGGCCAGGAGGGAAUGAUAAUGCACAUGGUGUGCAUUGCAGCCGGGAAGUUGAGAACCACUGUGGGCACCUCAGGACUGAGUCUGGUUACCCUGCUGAUCCAAGAAAUGAAGCCAUCUAAAAUUUUGCCUGCUUUCACAAUUUUCUGUGUGUGUGUGUGUGUGUGUGUAUUAAACAAAGUGAACUAAGAAGCCUUUUAUUGGAGACAUAAUGUACUCACAGUAGUUUCAAAAUCAAUGGUGUCACUCUUCAGGUAAAUUACUCCAAGGCUUGGGCCUAGUGCAGAUGUUCAUUGG
rnacentral:lncRNA from 1 species